GCGGGCUUUACGCAAUUGAUCGG
rnacentral:siRNA from 1 species